rnacentral:rRNA from 1 species
AAAUGAAUAGACGGGGGCCCGCACAAGCAGUGGAGUAUGUGGUUUAAUUCGAAGCAACGCGAAAAACCUUACCAGGUCUUGACAUCCUAGGAACCUUUGAGAGAUCAGAGGGUGCCUUCGGGAACCUAGAGACAGGUGGUGCAUGGUUGUCGUCAGCUCGUGUCGUGAGAUGUUGGGUUAAGUCCCGCAACGAGCGCAACCCCUACCAUUAGUUGCUACGCAAGAGCACUCUAAUGGGACUGCCGUUGACAAAACGGAGGAAGGUGGGGAUGACGUCAAAUCAUCAUGCCCCUUAUGACCUGGGCUACACACGUACUACAAUGGCAAUUAACAACGGGGAGCAAUACAGUGAUGUGGAGCAAAUCCCAAAAAAUUGUCUCAGUUCGGAUUGUAGGCUGCAACUCGCCUACAUGAAGUCGGAAUUGCUAGUAAUCGCGAAUCAGCAUGUCGCGGUGAAUACGUUCCCGGGCCUUGUACACACCGCCCGU